rnacentral:lncRNA from 1 species
UUUGCAUAAAGAAGAAAAGAGAAAGAAGAAUAAGAAAAGGGAAAAGGAAAAGGUGUGUCCACCAAGCUUUGCUCUCCACCAAGCUUUGCACUCCACCAACUCCCUUCCCCACCACCACACGCAAGAAUGCAUUAACAUUCCCUUAUACCUGCAGCAAUGUUAUAACAGAGAAUUUCUUGCAUAGUCGAACACCAUCACAAACAUCAAUUUACAGCAACUCACUCCCACCCAUCAUCUGGAGAAAUCAACAACAAAAGCCACCAACAACAAGCAUAGAAGGUAUAUACUAAGCUCAGCUCCAGUUCAUACAUCAUAUCAUCAAGCAUAUGUUUAAAAGGAAAUACAUAGUAUACAGGUGUGUAUAUAUAUGCAUAGAUGGAUUAAGCAAUCACGAAAUCAAAUUUUUACCUAUGUUUCCUUCACAAGGCACUAAGAAACUCUUGAUACAGAAACAGACCACUAUAGCUAGUAGAACCCUUGCAUAAUCGACAUAGAAUAAAAGCUUCAGGAAAUGGGUGUAUAUUACACUUUGAUAGCUAUAGUUCAUCAAGAGAUUCACGAACGAGGAUUUGUAAUAGCAUAGAAGUUAAACUUAGCUUUGGAGAAUAAGGGCCGACUGCCCAAGCAACUGCCGAACCCCGACGCCGGACGGAACUGGCGGAAGCUGAACGACGCCGGACCUAAGCUCGGCGGCAGCCGACGCCGGUUGGAGCAUAGAAGGCGACUGAAUCUCGACUGAUGUUGAGAGAGGCCGACUGAUUCUCCGGAUUCCGAACGAAGGAGCAGCAGCGACCGACGACGGCGCUCUCCCAGACGACGACCGCUGACCACCGGACGAGCAGCAGCAGUCGGCGGCGACUCCAGGCGAAGCAGCAGCCGCUCCAGACGGCGGCGAUGGCUCCAGACAAGGGCGUGACAGCAGCGGCGACCU